AUUGAACGCUGGCGGCAGGCCUAACACAUGCAAGUCGAGCGAGCGGCGGACGGGUGAUUAAUUUCUUGUAAACUGCCUGAUGGAGGGGGAUAACUACUGGAAACGGUAGCUAAUAACGCAUACCAUCAGAUGUGCCCAGAUGGCAUCAGCGAGUAGGUUAGGUAACGGCUCACCUAGGCGACGAUCCCUAGCCGGUCUGAGAUGCUGAACAGCCACACUGGAACGGAGACACGGUCCAGACUCCUACGGGAGGCAGCAGUGGGGAAUAUUGCACAAUGGGCGCAAGCCUGAUGCAGCCAUGCCGCGUGUGUGAAGAAGGCCUUCGGGUUGGAAAGCACUUUCAGGGGGGAGGCGUUACCCGCAUAAGAAGCACCGGCUAACUCCGUGCCAGCAGCCGCGGUAAUAC
rnacentral:rRNA from 1 species